UGUCACAUGGGCUUAGUGGUUAGCACGUUCGCCUCACACCUCCAGGGUCGGGGGUUCGAUUCCCACUGAGGCCC